GCGGAAGUAGUUCAGUGGUAGAAUACAACCUUGCCAAGGUUGGGCACCGUGCGGGUUCGACCCCCGCCCUCGGCACCA
rnacentral:tRNA from 1 species